UCCUACGGGAGGCAGCAGUAGGGAAUCUUCCGCAAUGGACGAAAGUCUGACGGAGCAACGCCGCGUGAGUGAUGAAGGCUUUCGGGUCGUAAAACUCUGUUGUUAGGGAAGAACAAGUGCUAGUUGAAUAAGCUGGCACCUUGACGGUACCUAACCAGAAAGCCACGGCUAACUACGUGCCAGCAGCCGCGGUAAUACGUAGGUGGCAAGCGUUAUCCGGAAUUAUUGGGCGUAAAGCGCGCGCAGGUGGUUUCUUAAGUCUGAUGUGAAAGCCCACGGCUCAACCGUGGAGGGUCAUUGGAAACUGGGAGACUUGAGUGCAGAAGAGGAAAGUGGAAUUCCAUGUGUAGCGGUGAAAUGCGUAGAGAUAUGGAGGAACACCAGUGGCGAAGGCGACUUUCUGGUCUGUAACUGACACUGAGGCGCGAAAGCGUGGGGAGCAAACAGGAUUAGAUACCCUGGUAGUCCACGCCGUAAACGAUGAGUGCCAAGUGUUAGAGGGUUUCCGCCCUUUAGUGCUGAAGUUAACGCAUUAAGCACUCCGCCUGGGGAGUACGGCCGCAAGGCUGAAACUCAAAGGAAUUGACGGA
rnacentral:rRNA from 1 species